rnacentral:rRNA from 1 species
AAAUUGAAGAGUUUGAUCAUGGCUCAGAUUGAACGCUGGCGGCAGGCCUAACACAUGCAAGUCGAACGGUAACAGGAAACAGCUUGCUGUUUCGCUGACGAGUGGCGGACGGGUGAGUAAUGUCUGGGAAACUGCCUGAUGGAGGGGGAUAACUACUGGAAACGGUAGCUAAUACCGCAUAACGUCGCAAGACCAAAGAGGGGGACCUUCGGGCCUCUUGCCAUCGGAUGUGCCCAGAUGGGAUUAGCUAGUAGGUGGGGUAACG